AUUGAACGCUGGCGGCAUGCUUUACACAUGCAAGUCGAACGGUAGACCCUUUCGGGGGUUGAGAGUGGCGAACGGGUGAGUAAUGCAUCGGAACAUACCCAGUCGUGGGGGAUAACGUAGCGAAAGUUACGCUAAUACCGCAUACGUCCGGAGGGAGAAAGCGGGGGAGCGGUACCGGCCCCGCGCGAUAGUAGUGGUCGAUGUCAGAUUAGCUAGUUGGUGGGGUAAAGGCCUACCAAGGCGACGAUCUGGAGCGGGUCUGAGAGGAUGAUCCGCCACACUGGGACUGAGACACGGCCCAGACUCCUACGGGAGGCAGCAGUGGGGAAUUUUGGACAAUGGGCGCAAGCCUGAUCCAGCCAUGCCGCGUGCAGGAAGAAGGCCUUCGGGUUGUAAACUGCUUUCGGACGGAAAGAAAUCGCCUUCAUUAAUACUGGGGGUGGAUGACGGUACCGUGAGAAGAAGCACCGGCUAACUACGUGCCAGCCGCCGCGGUAACAC
rnacentral:rRNA from 1 species